GCAGUCGAGGGGUAUUAUCUUCGGAUAGAGAGACCGGCGCACGGGUGCGUAACGCGUAUGCAAUCUACCUUUUACAGAGGGAUAGCCCAGAGAAAUUUGGAUUAAUACCUCAUAGUAUAAUGACUCGGCAUCGAGAUAUUAUUAAAGUCACAACGGUAAAAGAUGAGCAUGCGUCCCAUUAGCUAGUUGGUAAGGUAACGGCUUACCAAGGCUACGAUGGGUAGGGGUCCUGAGAGGGAGAUCCCCCACACUGGUACUGAGACACGGACCAGACUCCUACGGGAGGCAGCAGUGAGGAAUAUUGGACAAUGGGCGCAAGCCUGAUCCAGCCAUGCCGCGUGCAGGAUGACGGUCCUAUGGAUUGUAAACUGCUUUUAUACGAGAAGAAACACUCCUUCGUGAAGGAGCUUGACGGUAUCGUAAGAAUAAGGAUCGGCUAACUCCGUGCCAGCAGCCGCGGUAAUACGGAGGAUCCAAGCGUUAUCCGGAAUCAUUGGGUUUAAAGGGUCCGUAGGCGGUUUAAUAAGUCAGUGGUGAAAGCCCAUCGCUCAACGGUGGAACGGCCAUUGAUACUGUUAAACUUGAAUUAUUAGGAAGUAACUAGACUAUGUAGUGUAGCGGUGAAAUGCUUANAGAUUACAUGGAAUACCAAUUGCGAAGGCAGGUUACUACUAAUGGAUUGACGCUGAUGGACGAAAGCGUGGGUAGCGAACAGGAUUAGAUACCCUGGUAGUCCACGCCGUAAACGAUGGAUACUAGCUGUUGGAAGCAAUUUCAGUGGCUAAGCGAAAGUGAUAAGUAUCCCACCUGGGGAG
rnacentral:rRNA from 1 species